rnacentral:rRNA from 1 species
UACGUAGGGCGCAAGCGUUAUCCGGAAUUAUUGGGCGUAAAGAGCUCGUAGGCGGUUUGUCGCGUCUGCCGUGAAAGUCCGGGGCUCAACUCCGGGCUUGCGGGCGAUACGGGCAGGCUAGAGUUCGGUAGGGGAGACUGGAAUUCCUGGUGUAGCGGUGAAAUGCGCAGAUAUCUGGAGGAACACCGGUGGCGAAGGCGGCAUCCUGGACCAAUAUUGACGCUGAGGAGCGAAAGCCAGGGGAGCAAAGCGGG